rnacentral:rRNA from 1 species
UACCAGCACCCCGAGUGGUCGGGACGAUUAUUGGGCCUAAAGCAUCCGUAGCCGGCCUUACAAGUCCUCCGUUAAAUCCAGCUGCUUAACAGAUGGGCUGCGGAGGAUACUAUAAGACUAGGAGGCAGGAGAGGCAAGCGGUACUCAGUGGGUAGGGGUAAAAUCCUGCAAUCCUCCGGGGACGACCAGUGGCGAAGGCGCUACACUAGAACGGCUCUGACAGUGAGGGACGAAGCCCUGGGGCGCAAACCGG